UUUCGAAUCAUUCACAAUGGGCGAAAGCCUGAUGGUGCGACGCCGCGUGAGGGAUGAAGGUCUUCGGAUUGUAAACCUCUGUCACUGGGGAAGAAACGCUUUGAGCUAAUAGUUCAAAGCCUGACUUAACCCGGAGAGGAAGCAGUGGCUAACUCUGUGCCAGCAGCCGCGGUAAUACAGAGACUGCAAGCGUUAUUCGGAUUCACUGGGCGUAAAGGGUGCGCAGGCGGCCAUGUGUGUGAAGUGUGAAAGCCCGGGGCUUAACCCCGGAAUUGCACCUCAAACUACACGGCUAGAGCAUUGGAGAGGGUAGCAGAAUUCACGGUGUAGCAGUGAAAUGCGUAGAUAUCGUGAGGAAUACCAGAGGCGAAGGCGGCUACCUGGACAAUUGCUGACGCUCAGGCACGAAAGCGUGGGGAGCAAAAG
rnacentral:rRNA from 1 species